AGCGAACGCUGGCGGCGUGCCUAACACAUGCAAGUCGAACGUGAAAGGGAGCAAUCCCCAGUAAAGUGGCGUACGGGUGAGUAACACGUAGGUAAUCUACCCCAGAAUCUGGAAUAACCGGCCGAAAGGCUGGCUAAUACUGGAUAGAGCGACGGAAUCCGUAAUUGGGUUUUUCGGGAAAGGGAGCCUGUAAAAAGGCCUUCGUUCUGGGAUGAGCCUGCGUCCCAUCAGCUAGUCGGUGAGGUAAAAGCUUACCAAGGCAAUGACGGGUAGCUGGUCUGAGAGGACGAUCAGCCACACUGGAACUGAAACACGGUCCAGACUCCUACGGGAGGCAGCAGGGGGGAAGCUUGCGCAAUGGAAGAAAGUCGGACGCAGCGAAGCCGCGUGAGGGAAGAAGGCCGUCGGGUUGUAAAGCUCUGUCAAGUGGGACGAAAAUGCUUGGAGUUCACAGCUCCAGGAACUGACGGUACCACUAAAGGAAGCACCGGCUAACUCCGUG
rnacentral:rRNA from 1 species